rnacentral:rRNA from 1 species
UACGGGGGGAGCAAGCGUUGUUCGGAUUUACUGGGCGUAAAGGGCGCGUAGGCGGCCACCGCAAGUCGACUGUGAAAUCUCCGGGCUUAACUCGGAAAGGUCAGCCGAUACUGCGGGGCUAGAGUGCAGAAGGGGCAACUGGAAUUCUCGGUGUAGCGGUGAAAUGCGUAGAUAUCGGGAGGAACACCAGUGGCGAAGGCGGCGAUCUGGGAAGAUACUGACGCUGAGGUGCGAAAGCGUGGGGAGCAAACAGG